CCAGUAUGCCUAUAAUUGAGAAUGGAAAUGGGGAUUAUCAAAGAGACAACAACCCGACCAAAGAGCAGACAACAGCCAAAGGCCACCAAUGGGUCUUCAAUGCAGUGAGAAAAUGCAGCACCUGGAGGUGGUCCUCAGCUGACCCUUAAAUAAAAUUGUGUGUACUAGUUCAGUGAAAAUGGACGUCACACUAAACUCCAAAACAUAUAAAUGAACUAAAAUUCAAAAACAUACAAAUCUAACAAAGGCCAGAGGCUCCUGACUUGGGACAGGCGCAAAAAUGUGGCGGGGUUAAACAUGUUUUGUGAGAUCUCAACCCUCCCCCUAUACCUCUAGCCAAUGUAGAAUAAAGAAACACAUAGUAAUAUGCACAGUAAAACUCAGUUCAAAAGAAGCUGAGUCCAAUGUCAGAAUAGGUAACAAAAGAAACUAAACAAAAUGACAAUGACAAUGAUACAUAAAUGAACAAAGGACUACUAGCAGUUACUGACAUGCCAGCUCCAGACCUCAAUUAAACUGAUUGAAAGAUUAUAUCUUCAUCAUAUGAAAAUCAAGUACAAUCCCUCCCGUAGUAUUAUGAUCAUACCAUUAUAAAAUAUAUGAGAAGAACAUAACCCGUAUCAUGCC
rnacentral:lncRNA from 1 species